GGUGAUAUUUACCUUUAUUGAAUUUAGUUUUUGGAAUACACAAAAACCAAUCGGGAAACAAUUUUUUAUUCAUCAGACUUCAUAGAUGACGACUUCAUAGAUGACGUUCGAAAUAUGUUUCUAAGGCUAUUCUUACUCUCCUUUUUUCUCUUUCCAACUUUACCCAACUCGUUUUCCAACAAUAACCCUCUCUCAAGCCGUCUUGAAACCGACACAAUUUCAUAAGAAUCCCAAAGUGAUUGCUUGAAAUCCCAACUCGUCGAAAGCCCAUAAUUGUGGUUAUUGUUUCGCGUUGGUUUGGUCAUUGCUUCUUGCUUAAACCGAGUGGGCUUUUUCUUGAAGUUGAGACGACGUGCGUCAAAUUCAUUGGAGUCGGAUGGGGGCGAUGUGGUGGUGUGAAAAGGUUUGUUUUGGGGCCAUGGUUAUGGCUAUAUUUUUCCUAUCUUUUGGACAGAAUGAGAGCCUCACAUGA
rnacentral:lncRNA from 1 species